CUGCCGGUGACCUUUUUGCCUGCCUCUUUCUCCUGCAGCGAGGCCGUGCCUGCAAGCAGUUCGGCUGCCUGGUGGGACUGCUGGGGCCUCUGACAAGCGACGUGCCAGCCGCGUCCUGCCAGCGGGCAACGACCUACCUGGGCCGCCUGCUCCAAAUAGGAGCUCCAGCUGAGACCACGGAAGUGGCAACCGAAGAGAUUGGGCACCUGUGUGAGAAGCUGAACACUGAUGCCGCCGAGUCUCUGCUGGCGACCUCCGUCAACAUCGCGGAGAUUAUCUGCAAAUAUUUCCCCCGAGGCCAGGCCACAGACUUCAUGAGCGCCGUCGCAGAGAGCUUGCUGUGCGCCAGGCCCAUGUGUGCACAGGCCGCUGGGCGGUGGAUGCUGACGUUUCUGGGGGAGUGCAGAGAGCAAAUACUCAAGGAGGAGGUGCCUGAAAUUGUGACCACCCUUUACACCUGCCUGCGGAGCAGCCGGCAGAGCACCCCCAGGGGGUUUGUGCUGCGGGCGAUGUUGCUCCUGGCUCGCUCUCACCAAGAGCCGGUGCUGGACAGCCUCCUGCAGCAGCGCCUGCCCACGGACAGGUCUGUGCCCUCACCCUUCCCUCUGCAGACAGAGCCAGCCCCAGGGCGCCUCUGCCUGCCUGUGGGUCCCGGUAGGGAGCAGGCGGU
rnacentral:lncRNA from 1 species